rnacentral:rRNA from 1 species
UAAAGAGUUCUAUAACUCCCAAACCCAUGUGAACAUACCUAACGUUGCCUCGGCAGGUCGCACCUACCUUGUAGCACCCUACCCUGUAGGGCCUACCCGGGAGGUGCGGGUAAGCCUGCCGGCGGCCCACCAAACUCUGUUUGAUAUUGAAUUCUGAACCUAUAACUAAAUAAGUUAAAACUUUCAACAACGGAUCUCUUGGUUCUGGCAUCGAUGAAGAACGCAGCGAAAUGCGAUAAGUAAUGUGAAUUGCAGAAUUCAGUGAAUCAUCGAAUCUUUGAACGCAUAUUGCGCCCAUUAGUAUUCUAGUGGGCAGGACCGUUCGAGCGUCAUUUCAACCCUUAAGCCUUCGUUGCUUAGUGUUGGGAGCCUACGGCAACGUAGCUCCUCAAAGUUAGUGGCGGAGUUGGUUCACACUCUAGACGUAGUAAUUUUUUAUCUCGCCUAUUAGUUGGACUAAUCCCCUGCCGUAAAACCCCCAAUUUAUCAAGGUUGACCUCGAAUCGGUUCAGACAAACUCGCUAAAUUGAAGCAUCUUAGUCAGCGAAGGAAAAGAAACCAACAGGGAUUGCCCUAGUAACGGCGAGUGAAGCGGCAACAGCUCAAAUUUGAAAUCUGGCCCUCGGGUC